UUUUUUGCUUGGUUUAUAUCCCAAAUUGUUGGGAUCAGUGAAAAAGUAUGAACAUUUUGUUCUUAUUUUUUUGUGCGUCUGAUCCUCUUUGACUGAAUAAUUCAGUAUUUCAAUUCAAAGAUCUGUUAUUGAGGUUUGAAUGUGGUGAAUACUGUAUUUGUGUUCUUGACUGUUCUUACGCUCCCGAAGGUGACAGGCAAAAGAUUGGAGCCAUAUUAAUAUUGUGACAGUGAAAUGGUUUGAUGAAUCUAUUGCUCAAAGAGCAUGUCUGAAUGAGGAGUCCUACCCUGUUCAGAGUGGAUCUUUAUCUUCAAAUGUUCCAUUAUUUGUUAAAGAGGCAGAUGCUGAAGCACCUCCAUUCAUUACAGACCAGCAAUGAAUUGUGACCAAUGAUUCUGAGUCUGAUGACAAUGACCGGUAUUUAGCAGAUUGCAGAAUAUCACUUGUUGGUUUUGAAGCUUCUUAAAUGGAGAAGCUAAGUAAAGGUGGAGGUUCCCAAUGCUUGUAUUUAAAUGAUAAGUUGACGCACAUAGUAGUCGGGAAUCCAACAGAAAUGUAAG